AUGCACAUUCCAGUGUACAUCUGCGACAUAAAAGCUGUAUUCGUUGUUCGUAACCUCCGUCGCUUCUGUUGUGAUGGUUAGUGAAUUAAUGUGUGGAGAAAAUUAAAUUUUCGUUCCGAAAAUCAGUAAACAAAUAAAAAAUUUCCACAUGUAUGAUCAACCAACAACAAACCAGGUGCUUAUGUGUUUAUAUAAGGAACGAUAAGUUAAAACAACUUACCUAGUAAUGUAAUAUUUGUUGCCUGUGGAGAAAUGUGCUAUAUGAUUUAAUUUUUCGUCCACAACAUGGCGUUUAUCUAGUUGCCGUUGCGGAAGACGAGUAAGAGAGACAUGUAUGGUUAAAAAAAGUUGACCACACGGGCAAAAAUAUGAAUAGGCUUUAAAAGAAUCCUUUCCUUGAUUACUCAUGAAGUGAACGAUCCUAAGAAGAUGUCGUUUUAUAAUAGUCUUGCAGUUUAAGUUGUGUGUAGCAGAUCAGUAUUACUAUAACGAUAUCGCAGUUUUAUCAAUUAGAACGAAAAUUACGAAUUACAAGGUAUUGAAAUUUUUGUGCGCAAAGUUUAAAUUGUUCAAAUUUUCGGUACAGUAAGAUAAAAAAAAAAAUUUUGUAUCUCAAUACUAGACUGCUUGUUAUGUGCGAACCUCCGAUGUCUUCUAAAGAGAGAGCUACAGGCUUAGUUGAGAGGCGUGAGUUGGCGAAAUUUGCUGCUUAUUAAUUCAAGCUGAAAUGAGUGAAUGAAUAAAGGGUUUGAGUGUUAAAAUUGCCGACCUCUAACUAGCAGCAAUACGAAAUAUAGAAUAGGUAAUAAUAUCCAAUAU